rnacentral:rRNA from 1 species
GGGCCCGCACAAGCGGUGGAGCAUGUGGUUUAAUUCGAUGAUACGCGAGGAACCUUACCAGGACUUAAAUGUAAGUUGCAUGAUUCAGAAAUGGAUCUUUCUUCGGACUACUUACAAGGUGCUGCAUGGUUGUCGUCAGCUCGUGCCGUGAGGUGUCAGGUUAAGUCCUAUAACGAGCGCAACCCCUAUCGUUAGUUGCCAUCAAGUAAAGUUGGGAACUCUAGCGAAACUGCCGGUGCAAACCGUGAGGAAGGUGGGGAUGACGUCAAAUCAUCACGGCCCUUACGUCCUGGGCCACACACGUGCUACAAUGGUCAGUACAGAAAGCAGCCACUAUGCGAAUAGGAGCUAA